UUUUCUCUCCCCUCCUCGGUGCACUGUGGGCUUAUGUUGCAGUUAUUUUUUCUGUUGUUCAUCAGAGAACUUUCUAGGUUACCCUACUGCCCAGUCCUUGCCAUAGAAACUGAAGAAAUACGCCUGGCGAGUCGUGGAGGCAGCAGAGAUGUGAUGGCUUCAGCUUCUGCCAAAGGUCGUUCUUAGUCUUCUCACUGGUUCCCAUGGAAGCUCCAUCUCCUGUGUAUUUUCUAGGCUCAGAGGACCUGUGUAUGUGAACCAUGGAAAGGAAGAGGGAGAAGUGACAUAAACAAAGAUGACAAUUUUACUGCUCCAAAUGACACUGACUUCCCAAGCGUGAAUGAAAACCUUUUAUCUGACUUAAAGAGCACCUCUAGAUGGAAGAAAUGCCUGGGAUAAUCAUCCUGUCCUGAACUAGACUGGAGAAACUGCCUGUAUUUAUAUGUGGAUGACCGGAAGCCUGCCUAAUGCCAGAAGCUUGGCUGUAAUGCUCAAAACCAGAAAUUUCAGAGUGUUUUGGUAUCUGCGAACAUGUAAGAAGAAAAUCAUUAAAAACUUUAAUAGCGUUAUCUCAGCCUGGGUUUUCUACUUUGUUUUUCCUGAAUCUCUUCCUUUUCCCACUGGGAAGGAAUGGAGUGAGCCACCUGCUGGGUUAAACCGUAAGUCAACAUAAGACCUGAAUGUGAUCCCUGCAGUUUCCAAGAAAUUCCUGUUAAGCUAGAAGGCUAGGCUUUAGUUUUAUAUGGAUAAUAAGGAGAACCAUACAAAAAGGAACAGUUUGAAGGAGCAGGCAGAGUCUGGUGCAUGUGGUU